rnacentral:rRNA from 1 species
GCGAAUGCUGACAUAAGUAACGAUAAAGCGGGUGAAAAGCCCGCUCGCCGGAAGACCAAGGGUUCCUGUCCAACGUUAAUCGGGGCAGGGUGAGUCGACCCCUAAGGCGAGGCCGAAAGGCGUAGUCGAUGGGAAACAGGUUAAUAUUCCUGUACUUGGUGUUACUGCGAAGGGGGGACGGAGAAGGCUAUGUUGGCCGGGCGACGGUUGUCCCGGUUUAAGCGUGUAGGCUGGUUUUCCAGGCAAAUCCGGAAAACCAAGGCUGAGGCGUGAUGACGAGGCACUACGGUGCUGAAGCGACAAAUGCCCUGCUUCCAGGAAAAGCCUCUAAGCAUCAGGUAACAUCAAAUCGUACCCCAAACCGACACAGGUGGUCAGGUAGAGAAUACCAAGGCGCUUGAGAGAACUCGGGUGAAGGAACUAGGCAAAAUGGUGCCGUAACUUCGGGAGAAGGCACGCUGAUAUGUAGGUGAAGCGACUUGCUCGUGGAGCUGAAAUCAGUCGAAGAUACCAGCUGGCUGCAACUGUUUAUUAAAAACACAGCACUGUGCAAACACGAAAGUGGACGUAUACGGUGUGACGCCUGCCCGGUGCCGGAAGGUUAAUUGAUGGGGUUAGCGGCAACGCGAAGCUCUUGAUCGAAGCCCCGGUAAACGGCGGCCGUAACUAUAACGGUCCUAAGGUAGCGAAAUUCCUUGUCGGGUAAGUUCCGACCUGCACGAAUGGCGUAAUGAUGGCCAGGCUGUCUCCACCCGAGACUCAGUGAAAUUGAACUCGCUGUGAAGAUGCAGUGUACCCGCGGCAAGACGGAAAGACCCCGUGAACCUUUACUAUAGCUUGACACUGAACAUUGAGCCUUGAUGUGUAGGAUAGGUGGGAGGCUUUGAAGUGUGGACGCCAGUCUGCAUGGAGCCGACCUUGAAAUACCACCCUUUAAUGUUUGAUGUUCUAACGUUGGCCCCUAAUCGGGGUUGCGGACAGUGUCUGGUGGGUAGUUUGACUGGGGCGGUCUCCUCCUAAAGAGUAACGGAGGAGCACGAAGGUUGGCUAAUCCUGGUCGGACAUCAGGAGGUUAGUGCAAUGGCAUAAGCCAGCUUGACUGCGAGCGUGACGGCGCGAGCAGGUGCGAAAGCAGGUCAUAGUGAUCCGGUGGUUCUGAAUGGAAGGGCCAUCGCUCAACGGAUAAAAGGUACUCCGGGGAUAACAGGCUGAUACCGCCCAAGAGUUCAUAUCGACGGCGGUGUUUGGCACCUCGAUGUCGGCUCAUCACAUCCUGGGGCUGAAGUAGGUCCCAAGGGUAUGGCUGUUCGCCAUUUAAAGUGGUACGCGAGCUGGGUUUAGAACGUCGUGAGACAGUUCGGUCCCUAUCUGCCGUGGGCGCUGGAGAACUGAGGGGGGCUGCUCCUAGUACGAGAGGACCGGAGUGGACGCAUCACUGGUGUUCGGGUUGUCAUGCCAAUGGCACUGCCCGGUAGCUAAAUGCGGAAGAGAUAAGUGCUGAAAGCAUCUAAGCACGAAACUUGCCCCGAGAUGAGUUCUCCCUGAGACUUAGAGUCUCCUGAAGGAACGUUGAAGACGACGACGUUGAUAGGCCGGGUGUGUAAGCGCAGCGAUGCGUUGAGCUAACCGGUACUAAUGAACCGUGAGGCUUAACCUUA